GAGUUUGAUCCUGGCUCAGGAUGAACGCUGGCGGCGUGCUUAACACAUGCAAGUCGAACGAACCUUCGGGUUAGUGGCGGACGGGUGAGUAACGCGUGGGAAUCUGCCCUCAGGAGGGGGAUAACGGCUGGAAACGGCCGCUAAUACCCCAUAUGCCGAGAGGUGAAAUGAAUUUCGCCUGAGGAUGAGCCCGCGUCUGAUUAGCUUGUUGGUGAGGUAAUGGCUCACCAAGGCUUCGAUCAGUAGCUGGUCUGAGAGGAUGAUCAGCCACACUGGGACUGAGACACGGCCCAGACUCCUACGGGAGGCAGCAGUGGGGAAUUUUCCGCAAUGGGCGAAAGCCUGACGGAGCAACGCCGCGUGAGGGAUGAAGGCCUCUGGGCUGUAAACCUCUUUUCUCAAGGAAGAAGAUCUGACGGUACUUGAGGAAUAAGCCACGGCUAAUUCCGUGCCAGCAGCCGCGGUAAUACGGGAGUGGCAAGCGUUAUCCGGAAUUAUUGGGCGUAAAGCGUCCGCAGGCGGCCCUUCAAGUCUGCUGUUAAAGCGUGGAGCUUAACUCCAUCAUGGCAGUGGAAACUGUUGGGCUUGAGUGUGGUAGGGGCAGAGGGAAUUCCCGGUGUAGCGGUGAAAUGCGUAGAUAUCGGGAAGAACACCAGUGGCGAAGGCGCUCUGCUGGGCCAUCACUGACGCUCAUGGA
rnacentral:rRNA from 1 species